CCCUUAGAUGGUCUGGGCUGCACGCGCGCUACACUGAAGCUAUCAACACGUUUUCCCUCCCUGAGAAGGGCGGGUAACCUUUUGAAUCAGCUUCGUGGUAGGGAUCGGGGCUUGCAAUUGUUCCCCGUGAACCAGGAAUUCCUAGUAGACGCGAGUCAUAAGCUCGCAUCGAUUAAGUCCCUGCCCUUUGUACACACCGCCCGUCGCUACUACCGAUUGAACGUUUUAGUGAGGCAUUUGGACCGACGCAUCUCAGUUUAACCGCUGGUUUGUGUUGGAAAGACUUCCAAACUUGAGCGUUUAGAGGAAGUAAAAGUCGUAACA
rnacentral:rRNA from 1 species